AGUCGCACGCACCGCAAGGUGAGUGGCGGACGGGUGAGUAACACGUAGGAACCUGCCCGGAAGUGGGGAAUAACUCCUCGAAAGAGGGGCUAAUACCGCAUACGGUCGAGAGACCAAAGCUUCGGCGCUUUCGGAGGGGCCUGCGGCGGAUUAGCUUGUUGGUGGGGUAACGGCCUACCAAGGCGACGAUCCGUAGCUGGUCUGAGAGGAUGGUCAGCCACACUGGGACUGAGACACGGCCCAGACUCCUACGGGAGGCAGCAGCAAGGAAUUUUGCGCAAUGGACGAAAGUCUGACGCAGCAACGCCGCGUGGGGGAUGAAGGCUCUCGGGUUGUAAACCCCUUUUGCGAGGGAAGAAGAUCUGACGGUACCUCGCGAAUAAGCCACGGCUAACUACGUGCCAGCAGCCGCG
rnacentral:rRNA from 1 species